UCAGGAUCUAGUUGUGUUGGUGGUGUCCACCAUGUGUUCGUGGAAAUGCCUGGGAGGAACUUGCAGUGUGUUAGUCUGUGUUAUUAUCCUGGAUACUGUUGAAUGCUACCUGUUAUGUGAUGCUGGUACUGUUGGUAGAUCUCCCCGUGAUGAUCUGUUAGUGUUAAUGCUUGCUUUACUGUUAUCUGGUUCCUUAGAUUAGGUGUAUGGUGUUCAUGUGAUAGUGAAUCUUAUGUUUAGCAAGAGGAUUUGGAGCACUGGUUAUGGAUGAUCUAUGCACCGUCCAGACUAAAAUGCACCUCCUUUGCAUGUUUGGUACAUCAUCAACUGUAUCAUGUUAGUCUGAAGUGACAAUUUUCGCUGCGCUGUUGAAUGUCCAUUACAGUCGAAUGAUGUCCACAUUUGUUAACAUCAUCAACAUUGAUUGUGACACUGGUAAUUCGCAGUGGGAGGAAAUGCCUGGGAGGAACUUGCCUUGUCUUGGUCUUUGUUAUCAUUGGCACUCUUGAAUGCUAAGUUGCUAUGCGAUGCUGUUAUAAUAACUGGUAGAACUUCCUGUAAUUAUCUGCUAGUGAUGUUGGUAGAACUUCCUGUAAUGUCUUGUUCCUCACCUUUAGGAUUAUAGAGUGAUGGUGAAUCUUAUGCUAGCAAGAGCAAAUGGAACUCUGGACUUUCAAAGAAUUAUCACAGGCAAAAAUGCUCGUCUUUUUGCACAUUAUAUACCCUGGGCCGGUUAGCAUGAAGGAGUCACUGUUUUUUGUGUGCUGUUGAAUGUCCAGUACCAUUGUAAAUUUUCCAAAGCUAUAUUGCUGUCACAGGAAGUAAAAACAACUGGGGUUCUGCAGAGUUUGAAGGACAGGUUGUGCAAGUGUUCACCAUGCUGCUUUGUGUACGUUUAGCAUUCUUUUUGUUUUGAAUAAUAAUAAUAAUAAUAAUAAUAAUAAUAAUAAUAAUAAUAAUAAUAUAUGCUAGAACGGAGUUGCUGCAGAAGAUUGGUUAUAUGUCGUGUGUUUCUUAGCGUGUGCUUAGGUAAAAUUUUCUGCUUUCUAUGGGUGCAAUAGGAUCAUUUUUUUGGCGAUAUGAACUUUUUUUAGGAUAAAUGUUGCCGCUUUAUUAAUUAAGACGACGAUAACUGCCACACAUGUGGUAUAUUCGACAUGCGCCCACACACCAUGUGUGGUGUGAGCAGGAGGUAGUCCACACGGGCUGUGUGUGGGCGGACAUUAGAAUUGCCCACACGUGUGGGCGCGGCCACUUCGUGACACACGUCUAACAAGUACUACUCAUCUCCACCUUGUGCGUGUGGCACGAAGCAAAAAUGCCACACGUCUUGGUGCAGCUACGUUAGAUACCCCGCGGGAUGACGAUUUAGUUGCCAUCCUGGUUGGCAGAUGUAGUUAUCCGUGAUGACAAGUGUAGUUGUAAAAGCAUGGCAACUCUAUCUGUUUUAGUUAACUAUACUUGUCAUGUCUAAUUUAUGUUAGUUGCCGCGUGUAAUCAAAUCGUAAUUGCCGCGUGUGAUUAACUACUUGCCACAUAUGGUCAAAACAGUAGUUGCCAUGUGUGUUUACCUAGUUGCCAUGUAUUGUUAAUCACAGUUGCCAUGUGUGUUUAUCUGAUUGCCACGUACGCGCAACUGCAGUUACCGUGUAGCAAAGAAUCACAGUUGUCAUGUGUGUACCGAGUUGCCACGUUCGCGUAACUGCACUUGCCAUCCACAAGGUAGGAGUGUCGUGUGGGCGAAAAGCAGUUCGCCCACACAGCGCAGCUGGCAAACAGCAUGGUGCGGGCGUGUGGGCAAACUCUCCAACGCCCACACACCAGCCCCGUCUUACGUGGCACACCAAAUCCAUCUUUUCGUGUCAAAAUUCGUGCAAAAGACAGCGAACGACGAUCCAGACAUGCGGGCGAGUUGAGUAACGCCCACACGUGUGGGCAUUAGUGUUUCCGUUAAUUAAACGUAAACAGAAAUCUUGUCCGAAAUAAUGUCCAGAAUGCAAUCUGGAGGGACAGAGAGCCAGACUUUACAAAGUUCUUCCCCCAUUUCAACCUUAGCUAAUCUAUCAAUGGCACCACUUGCACUACGACUAACCCGUGUCACUUAUACUGCCGAAAGCUCGUGAGCAUUUCCUUAAUCUUCUCCACAUGCGGCCCUACAGCUGAGAGAUUCUUCUCCGAGUUGUUAAUCAUAGCCACCACACUUGAGUUAUCACUCUCCAGAUGUAGCCUUUGCACAUUUACCUGUGCUGCAAGCUGGAUGGCUCUCUUGCAAGCAUGUAAUUCCACCUGCUCCGGGUCUGCCGACCUGCUGUAGUGGUGACACGCUGCUGCCUUGAAAGCACCCAUAUGAACUUGGAGUGUGUUGGUCUGUGUUAUCAUGGGUACUCUUGAAUUGCUAAGUUGUUAUGCGAUGCUGGUACAGUUUGCAGAACUUCCUGUAAUGAUCAGUAAUUUGUUCCUCGUGGUUAGGAGUAUAGAAUGAUAGUGAACCUUGGCCGGUUAGCACGAAGGGUCCAAAUAAUUUUUGAGCUAUUGAAUGUCCAAUACUGCUGUAAAAUUUAAGCUAUAUUGCCAUCACAGAGAGUGAAAACAACUGUUUGGUUGUUGUUCUGUGGGGGUUGAAGGACCUGUUGGCAGCGUGGAAUGAAUUACUCCUUCAUCUGGAGGUUAUUCAGCUGCUGGAUGAAUCGUACAUAUUUCGAUGGAAGUUGCAUCAGAAUGACAUGUUUUCAGUCAAGUCCAUGUAUGAUGCUCUGGUUCAUAAUGAGGUUCCGGUUGACAACAGAAAAUUGUGGAAGCUCAAAAUACCUCUAAGAAUGAAGAUUUUUCUCUGGUUUCUUAAUAGAGGGGUCAUAUUAACUAGGGAUAAUUUGGCACGGCUCAACUGGCAAGGGAGCAAAAAUGUGUCUUCUGUCAGCACAACGAGUCUAUUAAACACUUAUUUUUUGAGUGCAAGUUUGCUCGGUCUGUGUGGGCUGUUGUUCGAAUAGUUUCAAAUCUUUACCCACCACGUAGUGCACGGAAUAUAUUCGGCAAUUGGUUGAGGGGUAUUCAAAAACAAUUUUCUACACACAUUCUAGUGGGGGCAGCUGCCUUAUGUUGGGCACUGUGGCUUACCAGGAAUGAUGUAGUGUUUAAUAAUAAAAGUGUUUCAUCUCCUAUGCAAGUUAUCCAUGCAUGCUCGCGAUGGCUCCGUACUUGGUCUAUCUUGCAGAGGCCGAAGGACAGGGACCUUUUUAUGAUGGUGUCUACACGGCUGGAGCGUACGGCCAGAGAGGUUUUUUACCCCCAUGGAUGGCGGUGUGAUCUUCGGAUAUAUCUGCCACGUCCUAGACUGGCUUAUGUUUUUUUCCUUAGCUACUUUUUUGCUUUUUCGGACUUGUGGACUUGUUGGCUGUGUGCAUCUGGUUAUGCAGAGGCCGGGCUUUCUUACGAUGCGAUUGUAUCACCUCGAUAUUUCAAUUCAAUGAAAUGCUCUUUAUCGAAAAAAAAUCUUUCCUUGUGUACAAGGAGCAUUAUUUUUGGUGGUGUGGUGGUCAGUAGAAAUGCUGGCGCUAGAAUGGAGUCGCUGCAGAAGGUUGAUGAUUUGGUGUUGUGUUUCUUAGCUUAUGCUUUGCUAAAAUUGUCCUGUUACUAUGUGUGCAAUCGGGCCAUGUUUCUGGCGACAUGGACUUUAAGAAGCCUGCAUGAGCGCGUGAUCUGUCAAUGUUUGCGCAUCUAACAGCAACUGUUCUCUGCCUUGUACGAGUAAUUGCAUAUUUUUGUGAACGUCAGUCAGUUUCUCUUCGCCUGUUUGUUGGCUGCUGCUGAGGUUUAACGACAGUUUGAACAAGUGCCGGUCAUCCUUUUUUUGUGUAGAGCUUAAGUUGAUAAGUAAUAACGUAUAUUAGCACACAAUAUAUGGUACACGCUGGUCCGUUGGUGGCGUGGUGGCUGAUGCUUGGUGCACUGUACAUCAGUAAUUUGGCUGCAAAUAGAUUGAGGGUUUCGGUCGUGUGUUUCUUUCUUAGCAUUGCCUUGCCGGAUGAAAUGGGAAUGCACUGAGCGUUCACCCAUUAGAACAUUGUCAUCGUUGUUCCACUGUACUGAAGCUGCGGAUGUUAUUCACAAACAAAAAAAAAACCCUGCGGAUCUAUUGUUCUGCUGAACCCUGAACGAACAGCUCGACCGGAUGGCACGCCAUGGUACGAUACGAACUGUAUUCACCAGCAUGGAAGGAUCUGGUCUGGUUGUUUCCUCAGGAUCUGAGGCUGCCUUUGGUUUACAGGAAUUUCAUAGGAAUCUUGUAGGACAGGAUCAGAAACAUUAGGUCCGAGCUGAUGGAAAAUUUCCUAUGGCGAACGACAUGCGCGCGGAUAACUGUUCCCUGUUUUUUUCGCUCACUCGCGUACAAACAAGGAUGGGAAAAGAAAUAAAAAAGUUGAAUCAUAUCUGUCUCCAGUCCUCCAUCCUCGCACAGAACGGCACAACUCGCCGGGAGCGACGCCGGCGGGCGAGGGACGCGGCCACAUCCAGUAGACGGGCAACGACCACCGGCG
rnacentral:lncRNA from 1 species